rnacentral:rRNA from 1 species
UACGUAGGGGGCAAGCGUUGUCCGGAAUUAUUGGGCGUAAAGAGCGUGUAGGCGGUCCGGUAAGUCAGCUGUGAAAGUCAAGGGCUCAACCCUCGGAUGCCGGUGGAUACUGUCGGGCUUGAGUACGGAAGAGGCGAGUGGAAUUCCUGGUGUAGCGGUGAAAUGCGCAGAUAUCAGGAGGAACACCGGUGGCGAAGGCGGAUCUCUGGGCCAUUACUGACGCUGAGGAGCGAAAGCGUGGGGAGCGAACAGG